AUUGAACGCUGGCGGCAGGCCUAACACAUGCAAGUCGAGCGGAUGAAGGGAGCUUGCUCCUGGAUUCAGCGGCGGACGGGUGAGUAAUGCCUAGGAAUCUGCCUGGUAGUGGGGGAUAACGUCCGGAAACGGGCGCUAAUACCGCAUACGUCCUGAGGGAGAAAGUGGGGGAUCUUCGGACCUCACGCUAUCAGAUGAGCCUAGGUCGGAUUAGCUAGUUGGUGGGGUAAAGGCCUACCAAGGCGACGAUCCGUAACUGGUCUGAGAGGAUGAUCAGUCACACUGGAACUGAGACACGGUCCAGACUCCUACGGGAGGCAGCAGUGGGGAAUAUUGGACAAUGGGCGAAAGCCUGAUCCAGCCGUGCCGCGUGUGUGAAGAAGGUCUUCGAAUUGUAAAGCACUUUAAGUUGGGAGGAAGGGCAGUAAAUUAAUACCUUGCUGUUUUGACGUUACCAACAGAAUAAGCACCGGCUAACUUCGUG
rnacentral:rRNA from 1 species